rnacentral:lncRNA from 1 species
UUUCCAUUCCUAAUUAUAUAUCAUUGUAGAAAAAAUUUAUUUUAUACAUUUAAAGUACAUGUAAUUCUUUAUGCUAGCUAGUCCAUGAAUAAAAUUGCAUAAAUCACAAAAACACAUUCGGGAAUAGCAAGAAAGUUUACCAAAAAAGUAGUGGGAACUUUACUGUUUUUUUUUAUCAUAUAUAUUUCUGAUAGUUUUCCCGACCUAUUCACCUAUUUUCAAACUUGAAAAGGGACCUCUUUCAGCGGCACGAGCCUGGAACAUGUACACAUGACAGUUGUAAGUAACAGCUAUAUAAAUAUACAAGAGAAGAUGUGGUAUGAUUGCGAAU